rnacentral:rRNA from 1 species
ACUUAUUGAGGUAGUGACAAGAAAUAACAAUACGGGGCUUAAUGUCUUGUAAUUGGAAUGAUGGGAAUUUAAACCUCUUCCAGAGUAUCAAUUGGAGGGCAAGUCUGGUGCCAGCAGCCGCGGUAAUUCCAGCUCCAAUAGCGUAUAUUAAAAUUGUUGCAGUUAAAAAGCUCGUAGUUGAAUUUCUGCCGCGUUGUAAUUUCUCAUCGAGUAAUGACAUCGUGGCUUAUUUCGGGUAUAGUUUCUAUUCCCGGAUGUUUACUUUGAGAAAAUUAGAGUGCUCAAAGCAGGCCUUCGCCUUGAAUAGUUUAGCAUGGAAUAAUAAAGUAGGACUUUGGUUCUAUUUUGUUGGUUUUAGGUACCAAAGUAAUGGUUAAUAGGAACAGUUGGGGGCAUUCGUAUUUAACUGUCAGAGGUGAAAUUCUUAGAUUUGUUAAAGACGAACUACUGCGAAAGCAUUUGCCAAGGAUGUUUUCAUUAAUCAAGAACGAAAGUUAGGGGAUCGAAGAAUGAAC